UGUCUGGCUAUCACUUGUCGCUAGGAGUGUCUUUUGCAAGAAAGGGACAGCACGUUUACCUGCAUCCUUUCAUUCAGCUGCACAAGGGAGUGAUCGACGACGUUCUUCAAUGGCCGUUCAAAGAAAAGCUUCGGUUUUCCAUUAAACACCCAUCUCAGAACAAAGAGUACAGAAAGGAGGAAGUCCCUGGACGCAGUCCUGAGCACUAUGCAAAGCCCGAUAAAGCAAGUAAUAAAGGAAUAUAUUUUGGUGCUUGUCCAUUUAACUUGGAUGAUCUCGAACGUGAAGGUUAUGUCGCGGACGACAAGCUUCGGGUGAUGUUUGAGCUUGUU
rnacentral:lncRNA from 1 species